AGAGUUUGAUCCUGGCUCAGAACGAACGCUGGCGGCAGGCUUAACACAUGCAAGUUGAACGGGAUUGUUAAGUAGCUUGCUAUUUAACAAGAGAGUAGCGCACUGGUGAGUAACACGUGGGAACGUACCUUUUGGUGGGGGACAACAUCUGGAAACGGAUGCUAAUACCGCAUAAGACCUGAGGGUGAAAGAUUUAUCGCCGAAAGAACGGCCCGCGGAAGAUUAGGCAGUUGGUGGGGUAAAGGCCUACCAAACCUACGAUCUAUAGCUGGUCUGAGAGGACGAUCAGCCACACUGGAACUGAGACACGGUCCAGACUCCUACGGGAGGCAGCAGUGAGGAAUAUUGGGCAAUGGAGGCAACUCUGACCCAGCCAUGCCGCGUGAGUGAAGAAGGUUUUCGGAUUGUAAAGCUCUUUCGGAUGUGACGAUGAUGACGGUAGCAUCUAAAGAAGCCCCGGCUAACUUCGUGCCAGCAGCCGCGGUAAUACGAAGGGGGCGAGCGUUGUUCGGAAUUACUGGGCGUAAAGGGUGUGUAGGCGGUUAUGUAAGAUAGCGGUGAAAUCCCGGGGCUUAACCUCGGAAUAGCCGUUAUAACUAUGUAGCUAGAGUUAUGGAGAGGAUAGCGGAAUACCCAGUGUAGAGGUGAAAUUCGUAGAUAUUGGGUAGAACACCAGUGGCGAAGGCGGCUAUCUGGCCAUAUACUGACGCUGAGGCACGAAAGCGUGGGGAUCAAACAGGAUUAGAUACCCUGGUAGUCCAUGCUGUAAACGAUGAAUGCUGGUUGUCGGCUUUAGGGUCGGUGACGAAGUUAACGCGAUAAGCAUUCCGCCUGGGGAGUACGGUCGCAAGAUUAAAACUCAAAGGAAUUGACGGGGACCCG
rnacentral:rRNA from 1 species